AUGGCGGCAUGGCUAGGCCUUGCCGGCGGUGAGCCCUCGCGACUUGAUCUUGCUGGACGCGGAGACGCCCGCCCGCCGUUACUCAGGCGACUCCUCCUCCAGCGCCGUCGCUCGUCGGACGGCUCCUCCCCUAUUCUUCCUCCUCCUCUCCCCCUCACACUCCUUCAUCAGGAGGGAUUAGCAGGCCCAGCACAGCCAUCCCAUUACCACCUCCUCCGCGAGCCCCAUGGCAUUAGGAAGGUCUGCUUGACGGUCACGCCGGCGGCCACAUCCGUGACUUCCCGCUACCCGCGUCCACUGCCGCGGAAGCCAAAAAAUACUGUAGAUGCUCCACAUGUCGCCGACGCUCGCGUGCGCGUGCUCGCGCUGGAGCUCCAGCGGCUGGGGAACCUGCUUUGCACCGCCGCCCAUCGCGUGUGUGCGUCAAGUGCGCGCUGGAGCUCGCCCUCCGCGUUACGUACUACGGCCGAGACGGCGCCCCAUUCUCCUUGCUCCUGCGGUGGUGGAGGCGGCGAGGCAAGGAAACAGUGA
rnacentral:rRNA from 1 species